GGCCGACUAGCUCAGUUGGUUAGAGCGUGGUGCUAAUAUAGUGACAACUCCGGUUCCACGACACGCCAAGGUCGUCGGUUCGAUCCCGGCGUUGGCCA
rfam:Dichomitus squalens LYAD-421 SS1 unplaced genomic scaffold DICSQscaffold_18, whole genome shotgun sequence.